AGCCUUAAGUUUUAUUUAAGGUGAUGCCUGCCCAGUGCUAGAUAGUAAAUGGCCGCAGUACCUUGACUGUGCUAAGGUAGCAUAAUCAGUUGGCUUUUAAAUGGAGUCGGGAAUGAAUGGAUUUAUAGGGUGAGACUGUCUCUUCUAUAUUAUAUUGAAUUUUUUUACUAGAUGAAAAUAUCUAGAACUAGAAAAAAGACGAGAAGACCCUAGGAGUUUUCAUAAAGAGUUACACUAUAACUUACAUUUUUGUUGGGGCGACGUGGGAAAUCAUUAAACUUCCCUUAUGUAAUUUGCCGACUUAGUAUGACAAUAUAAACUACCCUAGGGAUAACAGCGUAAUUCUUUUUGAGCUUGCGACCUCGAUGUUGGACUAGGAAUUUAAUGGGCUAGCCGCCUAUUUUUAUUGUUCUGUUCGAACUAUUUUUCCU
rnacentral:rRNA from 15 species